AACCUUUAAACAACUAAUGCUGCAAUUGAUUGUAAUGUCUGUUUAGUACGACAACUAAUUUUUUAUUGUUGGGAAAUUAAAAAGCUUUCUUACAACAAUUAUUAUAUUGCAGAGAAAACAGUAUUCUUCAAUUUUAAUAUAAAUGCCUUAGAAAAUGUUCUGCGACAAUUUCAGAAAAAAACAUCCAGCUUAUUAAGUACUAGUUCAACCUCUGCCACAGCAACACAGCCAUUAGAGCAACAACAAAUUCAUUAAUUUGUGAGAUCAGAAACAUCUUGUUCACAGCCAACUUUGAGCAAACGAGCAGUUUCAAGUGCUCCAAGACAGUCAAUCAAAUCAUUGAUGUUUCCAAGUCCUAAAAAAUCACGCAUUGUGGAAAAGACACAUACACUUACUCUUAAUGAGAAAAAAAAGACGCACCUGUUGCCUCAACUACAACUAGCGCUGCGGACACAAACAUUUAUAUCACAGG